rnacentral:lncRNA from 1 species
CGGUCUAAGCACCUUGGUAAACAGGGGCCCUGUGUGGCAGUGCCUGGACGUUGGGCAAUGCCCUCUCUCUUUGGGCGAUCGUCGCCAUGGGCCCGGGAUUUUAGGAAUGCAGCAGGCCUAAGCAGGCUGAGAAAAGUUCCGGCGGCGAUUCAAGGAUGCCCACGGGGAACCCCAAGUGUCCCCACGAUGCUUCGGGCCUGUGCAGACAGUGUGAAGGAAAGAGUUCUAGAGAGAGAAGACAAAGUCAGUCUGUGUUUAGAAAAAAACCCAAGGCUGAAAAUUGAAGAACUGAAUAUGCAGCUUGGAAAGCGAACUGGACACAAGGAAAGUCUUGUCAGGUAUGUUGGAUGUUAAGUCUUUGUGUUAAGGCUCAUUUUUCCAUGUCCCUCAUUUCCUCCUCACAAAACAAAUGUGAAAACCUUUGCAAGGCAGGCUCUUGCUGAAAUUAUUAUGUGGUGGAGACACUACUUCACAAACACAUUUCAUCCACUUGUUUAACUCUCACACAUGGUUAUAGCCUGCAUGUUGAUGGAAAUAAGAGUGAUAAUCUGACACAGGCCAUUUUUCUUACUUGGCAAGAAAAGUUGACAAAUUUCUCCCCUUAGACGCCAUAAAAAUAAUUUGGCCUAGACAAUUUGUACUAAGAUUAUGAUGUUGUACGUGAAAACAAUAAAAUUCCUAAGCUCUGUUAGCAUACUGUGAAUGGUGAAUUAUGUAAGCAAUGGUGAGAAGACCGAAGCUUUAUUUACAAGAACAAUAUUGGCACUCUGUGAGUGCUGACCAAAGCAAAUGUGUGAAAUGCUUCUGUGUGAUAAAAUAGAGAAAGGUGAAAAGAGGUCCCAGGUAGAUUUUACGUUUGUUUUGUUUUCCAUUUUUGUCGGUCUGGUGCUUUUUUGUUUUAGUGAGUUAUAAUCCUAAUCGGGAGUCUUAGUUGAUGCAUCCCACUGGCUCUUCUCCACAGUCCAGAAGAAAGAGAUUAAAGCUCCUGGUGGGCUGGGCGAGUGAGUCUGUGAACGAAAAGAGAGUUAAUGUAAACGAGGCAGCAGAGUGUCAAAGAACCAUGGCACAAAAGUUCUUCGUCUCGUUACCGGGACUGUGUAAGGGAACCCGUUCUGAUUUCUGACAAAAAAAAAUAGCCUUCUGAAAAAGCCCCGUUAAAUUAACGGAGGACACAGCAAUCAAACAUUUUAGAAAGAAUAAUCAUAUUGAUAAAACAAACAUAUUAGUGCUGUUACAUUUUUAAAUAUUUACGUUAAAAAUUAGAUAUUUACUUUAAAACUCUAUUUGAUUUUGAAAAGAAUACACAUAUGGAUAGAACAAAGAUAUU